rnacentral:lncRNA from 1 species
GAACAACUUAAAGCCUGAUCCCAGGGAGUUGCCCGAAAGGUGAUUUGAGUAAUUUAUUGAAUGGAAAGAACAAAUUACCUAUUGAGGCGGUGGGCAGCGUCUGGAAAUGAUAUUAGGACUUCAGCAAAGUGCACAGCUGCAUGACACAGAAGCCGGGACUCAGAUUGACAGGCAAAUAAGCCAGCUCGUGCAAGGGGCCUCUGGGUGGCAGCUCUGGGCUAUUGGGUGUUGGACAACUGUAGGCAAAACAGAAAUGGAACAGGGGCAGAAAAUAGCACACUUUUACGCUACGCAACUGUGGCUUUCGCAUGUCUACAGAUGCACGGCUGGUGGUGUGGCUCAGACGGAGCAAGGGUUACAUCAAGGCUGUUCUCUGGACCGUGCAAACAGUCUAGACCAAUGACCUGCAGCAUCAUGCCCUUUGAAGAAGAGGCAAGUUCGGUCACGAUGAAGAAAAAUCAAGGCGUACCCCUUUUAACAAUAGGGAGCAGCUCGAGGCUGCAAAGAGGUAAGCAGGGGUAAGAAGAAACCGG